rnacentral:rRNA from 1 species
UAGCUUAAGACACCUUGCUUUGCCACACCCCCACGGGUAUUACAGCAGUGAUAAAAAUUUAGCAAUGAACGAAAGUUUGACUAAGUUAUACUACACAAGAGUUGGUAAAUUUCGUGCCAGCCACCGCGGCCAUACGAUUAACCCAAAUCAAUAAACACCGG